CGCGGCCUAUCAGCUUGUUGGUGAGGUAAUGGCUCACCAAGGCUUCGACGGGUAGCCGGCCUGAGAGGGCGACCGGCCACACUGGGACUGAGAUACGGCCCAGACUUCUACGGGAGGCAGCAGUGGGGAAUAUUGCACAAUGGGCGCAAGCCUGAUGCAGCAACGCCGCGUGCGGGAUGACGGCCUUCGGGUUGUAAACCGCUUUCAGCAGGGACGAAAAUGACGGUACCUGCAGAAGAAGUCCCGGCUAACUACGUGCCAGCAGCCGCGGUAAUACGUAGGGGACAAGCGUUGUCCGGAUUCAUUGGGCGUAAAGAGCUCGUAGGCGGUUCAGUAAGUUGGGUGUGAAAACUCCGGGCUCAACCCGGAGAGGCCACUCAAUACUGCUGUGACUAGAGUCCAGUAGAGGAGCGUGGAACUCCUGGUGUAGCGGUGAAAUGCGCAGAUAUCAGGAAGAACACCGGCAGCGAAGGCGGCGCUCUGGGCUGGUACUGACGCUGAGGAGCGAAAGCAUGGGUAGCAAACAGGAUUAGAUACCCUGGUAGUCCAUGCCGUAAACGUUGGGCACUAGGUGUGGGGAGGAAUCAACCCUCUCCGUGCCGUAGCUAACGCAUUAAGUGCCCCGCCUGGGGAGUACGG
rnacentral:rRNA from 1 species